UACAGAGGUCUCAAGCGUUGUUCGGAUUCAUUGGGCGUAAAGGGUGCGUAGGUGGCGCGGUAAGUCGGGUGUGAAAUCUCGGAGCUUAACUCCGAAAUUGCAUUCGAUACUGCCGUGCUCGAGGACUGGAGAGGAGACUGGAAUUCAUGGUGUAGCAGUGAAAUGCGUAGAGAUCAUGAGGAAGACCAGUGGCGAAGGCGGGUCUCUGGACAGUUCCUGACACUGGGGCACGAAGACCAGGGGAGCAAACGGG
rnacentral:rRNA from 1 species